GUGAAGGUGGCCUGUGAGGGUUGCUGGAGGUAUCAGAAGUGCGAAUGCUGACAUAAGUAACGAUAAAGCGGGUGAAAAGCCCGCUCGCCGGAAGACCAAGGGUUCCUGUCCAACGUUAAUCGGGGCAGGGUGAGUCGACCCCUAAGGCGAGGCCGAAAGGCGUAGUCGAUGGGAAACGGGUUAAUAUUCCCGUACUUGGUGUUACUGCGAAGGGGGGACGGAGAAGGCUAUGUUGGCCGGGCGACGGUUGUCCCGGUUUAAGCGUGUAGGUGUGUGUUCCAGGUAAAUCCGGUUCACUUUAACACUGAGGCGUGACGACGAGGCACUACGGUGCUGAAGCAACAAAUGCCCUGCUUCCAGGAAAAGCCUCUAAGCAUCAGGUAACAUCAAAUCGUACCCCAAACCGACACAGGUGGUCAGGUAGAGAAUACCAAGGCGCUUGAGAGAACUCGGGUGAAGGAACUAGGCAAAAUGGUGCCGUAACUUCGGGAGAAGGCACGCUGACAUGUAGGUGAAGUGAUUUACUCAUGGAGCUGAAGUCAGUCGAAGAUACCAGCUGGCUGCAACUGUUUAUUAAAAACACAGCACUGUGCAAACACGAAAGUGGACGUAUACGGUGUGACGCCUGCCCGGUGCCGGAAGGUUAAUUGAUGGGGUCAGCGCAAGCGAAGCUCCUGAUCGAAGCCCCGGUAAACGGCGGCCGUAACUAUAACGGUCCUAAGGUAGCGAAAUUCCUUGUCGGGUAAGUUCCGACCUGCACGAAUGGCGUAAUGAUGGCCAGGCUGUCUCCACCCGAGACUCAGUGAAAUUGAACUCGCUGUGAAGAUGCAGUGUACCCGCGGCAAGACGGAAAGACCCCGUGAACCUUUACUAUAGCUUGACACUGAACAUUGAGCCUUGAUGUGUAGGAUAGGUGGGAGGCUUUGAAG
rnacentral:rRNA from 2 species